GAGUGCAGCGUUAUCGGAUUACUGGGCGUAAUCCGCGCGUAGGUGGUUCGUUAAGUUGGAUGUGAAGCCCCGGGCUCAACCUGGGAACUGCAUCCAAAACUGGCGAGCUAGAGUAUGGCAGAGGGUGGUGGAAUUUCCUGUGUAGCGGUGCAUGCGUAGAUAUAGGAAGGAACACCAGUGGCGAAGGCAACACCUGGGCUAAUACUGACACUGAGGUGCGAAAGCGUGGGGAACAAACAGGAUUACAUACCCUGGUAGUCCGGGCCCAAAGCAUGUCGACUAUUCCGUUGUUGUCCUCGACAUCUCCUUGCCCGAUUUGCGCAUUAUUGCCACCUGCAAGGAGACCCCCUUCCCGUGUUGCAACUAAGGACAAAGGUGCUCCUCCUUCCAGACCUUAUCCCAUGCUCCGACUCGAGCGUCAAAGCCUGCUGCUCCGGUGUCCAAUUCCCGAAGGCCCCAUUCUUUCUUGAAGUCCCUGAUGUCAAGACUGUAAGGUUCUCCCGUGCUCGAUUAACCACUGCUCACCGUUGUCAGUCCCCGCAAUCCCUGAGUUUACGUGAGGCGAACUCCCAGGGGCAAUUUAUGCUAGUUUGCCCCAUUAUCUCUAGAUCCACGCUAAUCACUCGUUACGCUUGACACCGGAACCA
rnacentral:rRNA from 1 species